GACCCAUUUACACCCUCAAGAAGACAGCAGUGUAAAGCCUCAAACUCUGCAAACGAAUCAGGACAACAGCAGGUACCUAAUGUAAAUACUGAAUUCGUAAUGUCUUCAAGAACUCAAACACUGAAAAUGGGAACAGGAUCCGCGUAUGUUGCUGCUCUAGUCGGAUCACUGGUACCAGGGAAGUUAGAAGGUACUUCAGGGAGGGGAAAGGCCUUGGUGGUUGUUUCUGAUGGAUUCUGGUUGUUUCCAGCGAGUUGGGUGAGGACUGUCGUCAGCGCUAUGCACAGGCACUGUUUUCACAAAGCACUCUUGUAUUUUUGUGCAGGGACGCUAUGAACCUUUGAGAAGGAAGCUUUCGUUUUUGUUGUGGAACCCAAGCAUUUGCCACGUGGGUGUGCCUCCGGGUCCCCCGCUUCCCUCAAAUGCACAGGGUCACCUCAGGAUCCUGUGGAGGCUUUGGGUUUCCCCUCCCCUGCUCCCCACUCUCCUUGAAUUCUCUGCCUCCCCUGGCCUCCUGUGACUGCCCUCUCCCUUCUGUCCCCCACACCUCAUGUCACCACACCUCAUGCCUGCAUUCCAGGAAUUCAAAGUAGCAGCUUACUAGCACAGCUGUUGUGUGGUAACUGUUUCUCGGUUUGCUAAAGGAUUGGGGUGAAAAGGGAGAUUAUGCUACAACCUGAAGUGGCACACAGGUAGGACUGAAUAUUAGAAAUCACUGAACCUAAAAGUAACUGUUUUUGUAAAUCAGGUCUUAGUGGAACCCAGCCUCACCCACUGUUAGCCUACUUACAGCUACUUUCUCACUGUGACAGCAGAGUUGAGUAGAAGUCACAAAGGGCGAGACUGGGUGGCACCCACAGCCAAAAUAUUUACUAUCUGGUCCUUAAGAAGAAAAAUGCCAGACCCUAAACUGUAUUAUAUGAUCAGCAUUUUCUCACUGCUUGGUCCCCCUGUAAGCCUUGGCUUUCCACCCUUUUCCUAAGCCUCUCUCACAUUAGACACCUGUUCAUUUUGUUAAAAUCUUAAUGUGUUCUCAGGGUACCUCAUUUUGACUCUUGGUUUUCUUGUAAAUUCAAAAUUCCAUUUUUCUUUAUCGUACAGAGCCAUCUGCCCAGUCCUUGCUUACUCUGGCUAUGCCCAAGUGUCCUAACAUUUCUAUCUAUCCAGAUCCUUAAGGACACUGACAGAAACAGCAGCACCAAAGCCCAAAAAAGGGAUUAGGCCACUCCUGUAGAAAGCAGAUGCAAAAGUAUCACAUUUUUAAUAAAUUUCCUUUCUGUCCUCUUUCCCAUAUGUCAAUGUGCAUUAAUUCAAACCUGCCAUUUUUUAUCGACAAAUGUGUCGGAAAUCUUAAAUUCAACAGAGGACAGUUCUAAGGAAAGGGGGUAGGAGAGGCAUUUUAUAGUUAAUCAAGAUAUAGGCAAUUCAGAUCUUCUAAACAAACAUAGAAGGUAGGGUCAACUUUCUCCUAAUUAGAAUGUGUGAAUCCCUAUGUUUACUAUCUGGCUUGUACUCACUUUGUUUUUGUUGAAUAGCUUGUUUUUUGUGACUGUUUAUGGAAGCAAAUGAAAUAGGCAUUGCUUUUUAAAAAUUCAGAAUUGCUAAUUAACUUUUUGAAGCUUUAAUGAUCAUCCAGCCUGAUUCUUCUGGAAAGAGCAUUUGCAUAUACCUGGGGAAAACUGACUGGUAGAUCCAGAGGACAUAGAAGUCUUGACAUGACUGAAUUUUGGCCAAAGAGUUCUACAGGACCAAGGUUAAUCAUCUGUGGCAAGAUAUGAUAGAUAAGGAAUGAGUCAGAGUCAGUACCAACCUUAAGACCUGUGCCCAAGCCAGGAGAAAGGGCAGAAAGGGUGAUACAGGAAAAGAGGCAGAUUCCAGAGACACAGCUGCGUGCUAAAGGACAUGAGAAUGUUCAAAGAUGACGCAGGUAACAACAGAUGUUGGGAAGUCUUGUGAGGUGGAAAGAAAACAAUGAGGAGGGAUCAGGUGGCAGGAAUGAUAUGGGGUGUCAGGUGAGCAGCGGGGCCUCCGCAGGGAUGUGUUCCACUGCGGGGAAGACAGUCUUCCUGGCCUUAAGGGAGAGGAGAGGUUUCAGCAUGGCCAGGGAAGCGUUUGGACCCCUUGGACUAUACAAUAUCUUCUUUCAAUCUUGACUGUGGUAGGGGGAGGACAUACUCUCUUGAGACGGACCCCGCUCCAAACCAGCAGCUCCUGUUUGCUGUCUCUGCCAUGACCCGGCUCAGAAAAGAGUCAGAACUAUGCGGUGUGUUAUGAGGGACCUCUAUGUUUCUGGAACAAGGCUCUUUCUAUUUAGUUGCUCAACACUGAGAACACUUUUCCUUUGACAAAAAAGGCAACGAGGAAAGGUCAACUUUUUCAUUACUCCCUCUCUUAUCUACUCAGUGUCUCAAUUUAGGCCAUAUUUUCUUGUGCCCUACACAGCAACCACUAAGGAGGGCAAAACACUUCUUCUGAACUCGUAAUUAUGUGUAAUGUUAGUAUCACCAUUUUAAGCAGCAAAUUCUGGGCGGUUCAGUUGUCACCUGUGCUGUCACCUGAAUAAAAAUGUCCUGUUAUUUCAGUGCCCUUCCUUGACAAAGUACUCCAGCGCUGGACAACACCUCGAAUUACAGUGUUGUGGGAAAGGAGACAAUCCAACAGUGUAAGGUGUGAGAUUCAUAAAAUCUUGGAAGUGACCUCCCAGAGACGCAGCCAUGUGCACUUGAAGAUGCCAACGCGCUCCGAGGACUAGUGAAAGCUCCCUCCUCUUAGCCUGGAUUAGUCACUCCUUGUGCUCUGUCCUUCUGCUGGAAGCACACACUAUCCAGUUAGGGGAAGACUGCACUCAGGGUAUGCAAAUGAUCUCAGUUACUUAAAGGAAGAAGGUAUCACUUUGGCUUUCUGUUUACAAGUUUGUGAUUCGCCUUUCUUAUUUUCAAUGUUCAUACUAUGGAAUGGCCUCAUUAACGAGAAGAUCAAAAUCCAGGAGGAAGACGUGAAAAACGAAGUCACAUACAAUUAUACUACUCAGUGAUAACCACUGUUAAUUUUUGAUUCAUUUUCUGCUAACCUUUCUUCAUCUAUGUUUGUUUCUUUAUACACCCAUGUCUUUCUUAAAUAAUUACUUUUUCUUCGAUGGAGCAAAAUCUCCUAUUAGAUCAGAUAUAAAAUAUAGCGAGAUCAGUUUUUACUUUCACUAGGAAAAAAAUUGUAUUUUCUGUUUAUUAAGAAGGUAUUAAAUGAACCUGGAGAAGAGGUUUUCAAGAGAAACAUCUUAAACAAUGAGCUCUGGAUAUUUCCUAAGCUCUAUUUCAAAGCAAUUUGUACUGUGUGUAUAAAAACAUACUCUUUUAAAUCAAACAGUAAUUUUAUUAUAAAAGCAAGUGACUUACUUUUUGUAUAGAUUCAGAAUAUGCCAAAUAAACUAAGAAACCAUGACUUUUAAGAACUGCAAAAUUAAUGUACAGGUCUCUAAAUAGGUGAUCCUGGAGUACCUAAAUGGGCCACAUACAGAGCAGUAAUUUAUUUGGGAUGACAUUACGGGCCAUGCUAACUAUCUAGAAAGUACCGGAAUCUUUCUGGACAUUUAACAAUAGAUUUGUACAUGAUGACUGAUAGCUACUGUGUAAUUCUGGGUUUUAAGUUGCUUUUAGAGUUUAUUCUGCCACACUCACCUUGAUAAAUAUGAAGACUGACCUGGACAUCAACUUGACGUUUUCUUUAAAAUCAUGGAAGAAAGGGAAAAAACAGCAUAAGCAAAGUCAACUGACAAAAUAGGAGGAAAAAAUUACAACUUAUAUCAUAGACAAGGGUAACUGGCAUAUUUAGAGAGUUAAACUUCAAAGACCAACCCUCCCCCCACCCCGCCAACCUCCCUGUAAAUGGGUAAAGGAUAUACAGCCAGGCCUCCAACAAAAGAAAGGCAAGUAACCCAUGAAUAUAUGAAAAGAUCCUCAAUGGUUUCGCUUAGUUGAAACUUAGAGAAAUCUAUUAGGGCUUGAAUUUCUGAAGAAGUACAUUUUAAAGGAGGGCUAGAAAUUAACUGUUGGGAAUUGGCCUUUACUAGAAUAAAAAUUCCCUAUCACAAGAAAAAAACAUAAAUUCCUCUUUUCCCCCCAGAAUGCAGUAGGUCAGGGACUCUUGUGAUUACCUAGCAUCUGAUGCCUGGAACGUUGAAUUUCAAGAAAUUCAUGAUUUUUUUUUUUUUUUUUUUUUUGCCUGUGACAUCAGUGAUACAUGGGAAAUACUAUGUAUACGAAGUAUGGGUAAAAUACUGAACUAACUUCAUUUGUAUUGUUGAGUAAUUCUGUUAACCUCUGGCCUUACAUUUUUCAUCUGAAAAGCAGGGCUGGACCAACUGGUCUCCAAAGCUAUUCCUAGUGCUAAUAUUCUUUUUUUCUCAUUUGCCUUUUGUGUACAACCUAAGUGUGAUGUGUAAGUUCAAGUCUAUGAUACUUAAAUAAAAUGUUCUGUCUCCACCAUUA